rnacentral:rRNA from 1 species
UACGUAGGGCGCAAGCGUUGUCCGGAAUUAUUGGGCGUAAAGAGCUCGUAGGCGGCCUGUUGCGUCCGCUGUGAAAUCCCGGGGCUCAACCCCGGGCGUGCAGUGGAUACGGCUGGCUGGAGGCAGGCAGGGGAGAACGGAAUUCCUGGUGUAGCGGUGAAAUGCGCAGAUAUCAGGAGGAACACCGGUGGCGAAGGCAAUCCCUGGGCCUGCACUGACGCUCAUGCACGAAAGCGUGGGAGCAAACAGG